CUUCCUUUUUUUGCCUGCUGCCAUCCACAUAAGAUAUGACUUGCUCCUCCUUGCCUUCCACCAUGAUUGUGAGGCCUCCCCAAGCCAUGUGGAACUUUAAGUCCAAUAAACCUCUUUCUUUUGUAAAUUGCCAAGUCUCAGAAACCUCCUGCUCUCCAUCCCUGGAGCCAGCCGGCCUCUGUGGCAGAUUCUAGCUAUCUGUGUUGUUUCUCUGGUGAUCUUGGUGGGAGCUGCCCUUCUGGACCUGAGGAAGAUCCUGGGCCAAGGGAAGGCCAUAGAAUGUUCUCUUGGGGCUCUGUCCUGCAGUAGAAACGAUGUUUCACUAUGUUGGCCAGACUGGUCUGAAACUCCUGACCUCGGAUGAUCCGCCUGCAUUGGCCUCCCAAAGUGUGGGGAUUACAGGCGUGAGCCACAGCACCCAGCCCAGUCCUGGCUCUUCGGACCUGCUGCUACCCAGCAGGAUGGAGGGCCUCUGUUAGGCAGAGAUGAACGGUGGUACAUGUCCACUGUGCCUGGUGUUGGGAGAAACCAGGCUCAUUCUGUAAGCCCUACAUGGAGAAGGCAACACUAAGCCUGGAGAUGCCCUUGGAGACAGGCUCAGGGCCCAGCUCGCUGCUCUCAGGAGCCACCUCUGGGCUGCUUCAGGAAUCAUCUGGCAUCAGCCUCCCAAAUCGUUGGGAGUACAGGUGUGAGCCACCACAUCCAGCUUGUUUUGUUUGUUUUGAGUCAGGCUCUCACUUUUUCACCCAGGCUGGAGUGCAGUGGCUCCAACAUGGCUCACUGCAGCCUCAAACUCCUGGACUCAAGAGAUCCUUCUGUCUCAGCCUCCUAAUAUUUUUGUUUCAAACAGUUGUCUUUUAAAGAAAUUAAGAAAAGUUUACAAACUACCAGGUGGUCAGGAUAUUUGAAAGAAGAAAAAAUAGUCUUUUCUAUUUAGCCAUGUAUUUGCCCUGCCUGGGUUCUCCAUUCCUUCAUGAACAU